UCUGCAUCGGACAACACUCAACUCGGGAUUGGCACCCAGCCAGUGCCCUACACUAUACAAGAUGCCACUGUAGGGACAGGGAUGACCUCUAGCAAGGUGACCCUCAGUGGGCCAGAGGGGGCUUCUGAAGAGAAUUUCUCUAGCUUCUUGGUGUUUCCUGCCUGCUACUUUCAAACAAGGGUCCCAUUUUUAAUGUUUUCCCAGUAAUACCUUAUGAAUGUUAUUGCAAAGGUAAAGGAAAUUAUAUUUUUGCUCUUAUUGUUGUUCACUCUACUCCCAUUUAGCAAUUAACAUUGAAAGCGGGCUAAAUCAACACCACAGGCCCCGUGAUCAAUAUAUGUGAUGAGGACAUUACAUCCUGGUGUUGUUGCCCCAAGUCUUGACGUGAAUCUGACCACAAGGACAAUUCGGACAACCUGAAAUGGUGACGCAUUCUACAAAAUAAACAUCAAUGUCAUGAAAGACAAAGACUCAAGAUUUUCUGCUUAAUGGAGACUAAAGAGAUGCGACAACAGAAUGCCAGGCAUGAUCUUGGAUAUUCUUUUGGCUCAAACAGUCUUAGGACAAUUGAAAAAACGUGAAUGAGGUCUGUAGCUAAUAGAAUUGUGUCAAUGCCACAUCCUUGGUUUUGUUAAUUGCAUUGUGGUUACAGAAGAGAAUCCCUUUGUUUUCAGGAAAUGCACACAGCAGUAUUUAAUAG
rnacentral:lncRNA from 10 species